rnacentral:lncRNA from 10 species
GGGCUGUCCAUCACCACCCCUCCGGCCCCCGCCGGAAAGAGGACCUGGAGGAAAAGACCCCUCAGGCUCCGGCCGCAGCUCCACCCGCAGGGGCCGUGGGAAGCGGGCGCUCCGGGGAGGAUGCCGCGCCCAGUAGGGGUCGACCCGAAGAGGGGGUCCCCUCCGGGGGGGGACCUGCCCGGGGCUGGGCGAGGGUAUGAGUUCCCGGCUCCCCCACAUCCAUCACCCUCAGGCCACGCUGAGCUUCCUGGACGCGGAAGCCUAGGCCCCAGCACCGCUGCACCUGCCGGCCGGGCACCCCACUAACGCGGCAUCCCGAGAAGGGCCGACUUCCAGGACGACGCAGCUGCGUGCACACAGCCCCCCUUGGCCCGGUGCGGCGGCCCGCAGGGGAGAACGAGCUUGCAGGGUGCGGGUGCGGGCCGCUGGGGCCGAUCUGGCGUCGCAGAACCCGGGGUCCACACCGUCCAGGCUGCGGCCGCGACGACCCCCUGCCAGGCGCCGGUCUCCUCCGGGAGGGCUCCAGCCCGCGCCACCUCCAGGCACAGGGCGCCCUCGUAACUCCCAAUGAAAGUCCUGCGGGAAACGGUUCCCGACCUCGCCAGGCUGGGGGCAGAAGCGACGGGAUGACGCGGAUUGUAAUCGGAAGGUCAGCCUGUCCUGGCCACGCCAGGAAAUGUAAAAUUUAAAGCACAUUUACAUUUUACAGCCCUCCAAUUCCCAAUUCCCUUUUCUCUGCACGCUGACCCAACUUGGUAACGUGAGCUCGCGCCUGUGAGCACUCACCUUCCCGCCGUGACCCGGGCCCAGGGCUUCAGGGCAGGAGUUGUCAGGAGGGUGUGCAGCAGGGAAAAUGGGUGCUGAGGAGCCGAAGGACGACUUGGGAGGGAUAGGGGAGAAGGAAAAGAGGGGCCGAGCAAAGGCCUAGAGAACCGCUGGGGAAGAAACGUUGAACUUAAGAUGAACAGAGGCCAAGCUGUCUUUGAUUGACAGCAUCUCAGGCUCACAAAAGCAACUUUCAAAGAUAAUGAAAUGCCUACCUUUCAAUAGCUUGUUUUCUCCCUGUAACGCUUAUUUAAAUGUUGUUAUAACAAUUCUUUCUUUCUUUCUUUUUUUUUUUUUUGAGAUGGAGUCUCGCUCUGUCGCCCAGGCUGGAGUGCAAUGGCGCGAUCUCGGCUCACCGCGACCUCUGCCUCCCGGGUUCCAGCGAUUCUCCUGCCUCAGCCUCCCGAGUAGGUGGGAUUACAGGCACCUGCCACCAUGCCCGGCUCAUUUUUGUAUUUUUAGUAGAGUCGGGGUUUCACCAUGUUAGCCAGCCUGGUUUCGAACUCCUGACCUCAAAUGAUCUGCCUGCCUUGGCCUCCGAAAGUGCUGGGAUUACAGGUGUGAGCCACCGCGCCUGGCCUAUCACAAUUCUUGAUUGUUUAAAGUGCAAUUAUUUGGAGAAAAUAAUUUUAAAUGUUCUCUGGGAAUUUAUUGUAGAAAGCAGUUAGACUUUUACCAGUGGUCACAACUUCACUGAUGAGAAUGAUAACCCAUUAAUAAAACAGCCCUCUUCUUCUGAGACUUGAUUUUGAAUAUUCUGAUCUAGAUAGGCAGAUUCUAAAGCUACUCAACACCCCGAACCCUGUGACCACAUCUCCCAGAGCAGGGUACUGGGACUGGUUUCCGUUCCCUUGGCAUGUCCCUGAGGCAAUGCUUGAAGACACCUGUAAUUGCCACAAGACACAUUUUCCUAACCCCCAGGCUGCCAGUCAAUUGCUAGUUACCAGCUUCUGAAAACCAUACAGGGAAGGGAUUAAGAAGUGGGCUCUGGAAUUAAGCCACCUCGUUCAGUUCCUGGCCCUGCCACUCACUAAGGGAUAUUGAGCAAGUUACUUAGCUUCUGUGCCUGGAGUCUUACCCAAAACAUGCCGGUGAUAAUGACAGUGCCCGCUGUGAGGGUGAGGACCAAAGGCUCUAACACGGGGAUCCCGCUGGGCACAGUCAGGGUGAGCUGCCCUGCUAGCCUGCUGCCUAGUGUCCUGGGAGUCCAGUAAAAGCAAACCAGCACCUGCCUUGCUGCCUCUGGAGUCCCCUCUUUUCCAGAUAGAGUCCCCUUGGUAGGUGCCCUGACUCAAGGUGCCCAGGCCUCCUCCUCCUCCUCCAUAGCAGGAAGGAAGCUGGGCACCAGACCAAGAACUGGGAUGGGCCAGGCAGCAAGACUGUGGGCAGCCCAGGAAAGAGAACAAACCCACUGCCUGCCACAACAGCUGUGGGAAGGGGCUGCUGCAGAGGAUGUAGGUGGCAGGGAGGGGACCAUGCCAGGACACUCACAGAGUAAGAAGCAGCGAGCUGAUGAGUCUUAGUCCCAGGAACAAAUGAACAUUACCAGCAAUAAAAUAAUGGCUGGUUUCUGAUUCUGCUAAGUAGUAGCAUAUUAAAGAAAACUGCCAUCCUGACACCCUUCUAGAUGAGAGGAUGCUACAUUCUGACUUGGGUUUCAGCCCAGCCAGUCCUGUGAGGUGGAAGUCUCAGAACCAUCCCCAGCUCAAGAGCAAAGUCUAUACUCCAUCCAGGGGCCUCACUCAGAGCAGAAAGUCAUCACGUGGACUCAACGAAUGCCCUUAGCUGUCUUCCUGGUGGACCAGUGACCACACCUCCCACUCCAGGGGCACUGGCAAAGCAGGGCACACACCCAGGUCAAUGCCAGGAGCCGGAUCUCCCAGUAAGACUAGGGGCACUGGUAGGAGCAUCAAGCAGGGGAUCCAGACCCUGCCUGCUGUCUGCAAAGAAGGUGGUACCCCACGGCCAGCUGGUCCAGCUCAGGCACAAAGUAUUCUUGGCCCUCAGGCCAGGGUCCUGACUGCCUCCGGUGGACAGAAGAGCAAGAGCGUCUGGAAAGCAACAGUGAGCUUGUCUCCAGCAUCCACAACAGCUCCAGUGCCGGGCUUACAUAUGGCAGCAUGCAGCCUUCCCACAGCUGCCCUGUGACCUGGGUACUGAACCUCUCCCACCACCUCCCUCAGCCCCCACCCCCAGGUUAUGAAUGGGCUCUCCCGAUUAAAAGCAUGUUCUCACUGCUUGGAACAUGGUAGGUGCCUUAUAAAUGAUGGGUGGGUAGAUGGAUAGAUGGAUGAAUGGUUUUCCUAACAAAAUGGAGGACUUUGAUGAAUUGUCAUUAAUUCUCAUUGAUCUUCAGUAUUUUAUACUUCUGUAGCAAUUGGGAAUAGAAACUCUUUUAAAAAUGACAUGUCUUUAGGAUAUUUUUUCAUAACUACCUAGCACCCAGCAAUUCAUCAC